rnacentral:rRNA from 1 species
CCGGUCCAGACUCACCGGGAGCACAUAAAGGAAUAUUGCUCAAUGGGAGAAAAUCCUGAAGCAGCCAAACGCCCGCGUGGAAGGGAUGAAGGCUUUUCAGCUUGUAAACUCCUGUAAAGAAGGAAAAAAUUCCCAUUAGAUGGGAAAAUGAUGGUACUUCUAAAGUAAGCCCCGGCUAACUACGUGCCAGCAGCCGCGGUAAUACGUAGGGGGCAAGCGUUGUCCGGAUUUACUGGGUGUAAAGGGUGCUCAGGCGGAUUUGUAAGUCAGAGGUGAAAUCUCACAGCUUAACUGUGAAACUGCCUUUGAUACUGCAAGUCUAGAGUAUGGAAGAGAGUGAUGGAAUGUCUGGUGUAGCAGUGAAAUGCGUAGAUAUCAGAUAGAACACCAAUGGCGAAGGCAGUCACUUGGUCCAUUACUGACGCUAAAGCACGAAAGCGUGGGUAGCAAACAGGAUUAGAUACCCUGGUAGUCCACGCCCUAAACGAUGAAUACUAGAUGUUGGGCCCGAAUGGGUUCAGUAUCUGAGCUAACGCAUUAAGUAUUCCACCUGGGAAGUACGAUCGCAAGGUUGAAACUCAAAGGAAUUGACGGGGGCCCGCACAAGCAGUGGAGCAUGUGGUUUAAUUCGAUGCAACGCGAAGAACCUUACCUAGGCUUGAAAAGUAGAUUAAAGCAGAUGAAAGUAUGUGUGUAGCAAUACGAAUCUACACAGAUGC